rfam:Capsaspora owczarzaki ATCC 30864 unplaced genomic scaffold supercont2.3, whole genome shotgun sequence.
AGUUACGGCCAUAUCUGGUGGAAUGCACCGCAUCCCGUUCCGCUCUGCGAAGUUAAACCACCAUGAGAGUAGUUAGUACUGCGGUGGGAGACCACGCGGGAAUACUGCUUGUUGUAACUC